ACAACCGAGAUGCUAACUGUUAGCUGUAGGUAGUAGUAAGUUAACCUGAGCUAAUGAGCUAAAGCUAAUAGCCGAAGUUGUUGUCAGUGUGUAUUGUGUUAUACCUGAAGUGUAGGUUGGGUUUUGUAGCUGAUUUCCGCUCAGUGAUUCAACUUAACUACACAGACGCCAUUUUUUAAUAUGGAGUCUUGCCUGUCGGCUGUCAGCCUCACCUGUGGGCACCAGAGGAAACAGUUUCUCAGAGCAGCAGCGGCGGCAGGAGCGGCAGGAGCGGCGGGAUGGGCCGCGCGGAGAAGAAGCGGCGUCGGCAGCAGAGUCCAGCCGGCGCGAGGAGCGCGAGACGAUCCCACGGAGGAGAGAAGGGCGUGUGAGGAAGAGGAGGAGGAGGAGAAGACAGGAGGAAGGAGGAGGAGGAAAUCCCGCGAGAAAAGAGGAGACGGACGGACGGACAGAUUCACGCAGAGAGAGAGAGAACCCGCCGCACGUGAGACCUCGGGGAGAAGGGACUAACCGUUAAUCUGGAGAAGAACGAAUAUUUUUCUAUUCUUUCUUUUUUUUUUCUCCACGCACACACGGAGAGAGGUCUCCGAGGAGAAAAGGUCCGGACUCAAGCCCACCUUCAUCAGCUGUUUGUUGCGCUUCCCCACGCGCACACGAGUGGUCCUGCGUGUACGUUGUUUACCC